CAGAGGCACAGCGCCCGGCCACCAUGUCCUGGGUGGGGACAAAGGGGCCUUUCAAGCCCACAUUUCACAACUCUCUUUCACCCGGGCAUGGGUGAGGAGGCCUCUCCUCUGGUCUCAGUGUCACAGUAGCUCUCAGGGAUGGGAAGGGGCGUCCCCAGGAGCUGACAGAGCUUCCCUUGGUAGCGGUCUCACCAAUCUUGAGCCUCUGUAGGACCCCACAGCCCCCAAGACCCAGCCCAGCCAGGCCCUGGGCCAGCAGCGCUUUCUCCACCUGGAAACACUUCUCCAAGGUACCACUCAGCCCAAGGGUCCCUCCCACACCACGCUCUUCAUCACACACACAUAUGCCAUUCACGUACGUAGAUACAGGCACACACAUGCACACCACACACAGCUGCACGUCCACACACAUGCACACACGUCCGCAGGGUGCCCCCUCACAGUCUCACCACCCACACAUGUGCAUCAUCCCCCAGGCCACCUGGCUCCCUGGCAGUGAGUCCUUAGGUCUACAGAGGGGCUUGCACCUUCCAGCACUCCAGGUCCCCUCUGGGUGCACAUUCAAGCUGCUUCCCCAGGUGCAAGCUUCACCUCCCAGGCCUCCCUCGCUCCUCGGGAUGACGCAGCCGCUGCUCCCAGAUCCUUGUCAGUGGCAGCAUGGAAACCUUGGGUUCCAGGAGGGCAGAGUGCAGCGUCCUCUGCCCAGUGCAGCUUGGACCAUGUUUCAGGGCGAGAGGCCUCCAGGCCAGGCAGGAGCCGGGCUCUCCCUGCAGUCUGGGAGGUCAGCGGCCUGUGACCGUGCCAACAGCCUCAGGGAGGAAAGGGCUGAGAGGAGGGGGCGGGUGGGGCUGGCUAGCCACAGGACCUCAGCACAGAGUGGCUCACGCUCUCAAUCAAUUUGCUGAAAGUCCAAUUUGCCACAAACAGUCGGGCGACCCUUGAAUGGAGUUGAAGACACAACAGGGUGGUUGUUUGGGUGAGACCGUGCCUGAUCGAGGGGGAGCCCACCGGUGCCUCCUGCAGAUGGCCAGCGUGGAGGCACCUCUGACCAGCACUGACCCAGGUUCCUGGGUCUGUCUUUUCUGAGGCUUCACACAAGGGAGGCUCAGGGAACGUUCAGUCUUAGUCCUGCUUGUCGUUUGGACUUGUCAUCAGGACUGUGAGGCAACAGGGAGACACGCCAUGCCGUCCAAGUCUGCGGCCAGUCAGAGGCGUGCCUGCCUGGGGGAUUCAGCCCUGGGCUGUGGCCUCCUGGGGACAGUGCUUGAUGGCCUAAAUGCUGGCCACCGACCUCUUCUGAAUAGGCUGUGCUUGCGACGGCCAUGUCAGAGUGCAGUCGCAGCGAUAAUUGGAUUAUUCCCGUUUAAAGCCCUGCUUACUCAUGCUGCAAGGCAAAGCCUGUCUUCAUCCGAAGGAGACAUCUGAGGUGAGUUAUCAGAAACCCACUCGUAAAAGUGCCUUCCGGGACAGCUCUGGGUUAAAUAGAAGGUGUGAUGACAACAAAGCCACGCGCUUAUUAAGACGCCUUCAUGAGACACAUCCUUAAGUAUGUGAGAGCAGAGAUCACCGAGUGGAACGCGGGGAAUGUAUACACACGGCGCAGCAGGUACGUCCCUCUGCUCUGGAGCUCACCGAGUGGAAUGUGGGGAAUGUAUACACCCAGUGCAGCACGUAGGUCCCUCCACUCUGGAGCUCACCGAGUGGAACGCGGGGAAUGUAUACACCCAGUGCAGCACGUAGGUCCCUCCACUCUGGAGCUCACCGAGUGGAAUGUGGGGAAUGUAUACACCCAGUGCAGCAUGUAGGUCCCUCCACUCUGGAGCUCACCGAGUGGAACGUGGGGAAUGUAUACACCCAGUGCAGCACGUAGGUCCCUCCACUCUGGAGCUCACUGAGUGGAACGCGGGGAAUGUAUACACCCGGCGCAGCAGGUAGGUCUCUGCCCUGGAGCUCACUGAGUGGAACGCGGGGAAGGUAUACACAUGGUGCAGCAGGUAGGUCCCUCCGUUCUGGAGCUCACUGAGUGGAACGCGGGGAAGGUAUACACCCAGUGCAGCAGGUAGGUCUCCGCCCUGGAGCUCACCAGUGGAACGCGGGGAAGGUAUACACCCGGCGCAGCAGGUAGGUCUCUGCCCUGGAGCGCGGCGAGCAGGUAGAUUCUAUUGAUCGGAGGUCCCGGGCAGGUGGGGUUGAGGGUCUGAGUGGACCCCAGUUGACCCAGAUCGUGGAAGCCCCAAACGGCCUAUGUGUUCUCGAGAGCUAACCCUCUGCGUUUUGUCUGUGUCACCCAUGGGUGGCAUGGCUGUGUGGCCUCGUGGUGCUUGAAAGCUCUUAGUAAGGACUGAGCGAUGCUGUAUGCAGAACUUGAAGCCAGCCAAGCUGACUCCCCUCGCCAGGAAUCUGGUGACGCCAAAGGGCCUGCCGAGUUGUUCCAGCACCAGGAAGCCCCAGCCAAUCUCUCAAAGAGUCAGGAAGGCCCCCUGCCCAGCCCCAAACCUGAGAACCUCACAACCUAGGAAACACAUGAAGAGAAGCCAACUGUCCACACGACCCUUCCCCGGAUUGACGCCCCAGGGAGGAACACGCGGGCUCCUCCAGGGGACAGAUGGACAGGGACGCACAGUGCUCCUUCACCUGGGACUGUGGCCGUGACAUUCCUCAGCUCAACACCCAAGCCCCAUGGUGUGCACGGCUGCAGGCUUCCCUUGGGAAUAAACGGCUUCCUCACUCCCGUUAACACGCAGUUCUGCUUUCUGUACUCAACAGCUUGGAAAAUGAAUCACCCAGAACCAGCCCAGUGGGAUUCCAGGAGAAACUGUGGGCACUUGCUCACAUAUCAUCAGAAACACUCUUGACCGCCUGAGCUGGGGCGGCCGCGCUCUCUGGCAGUGUCUGACCGAGAAGAGCGUCCCCCAAGCCUCCCAGAUCUGGCUGGGGACGGAGGAUUCAAUCUACAGCCAUGUGCACGGGAAAAGGGGUGGUCAACAUUAAUACACACGAAUACAUACAGACCCACCCCCCACACAAUAUGCACAUACACAAAUGUACACACACUCCACACAGACACAAAGACCACCUGGCCUCGUGGAGUGAAAUGGAAUUGGGGUCUACCAGAGGUCCCACAGAAGAACCCAUGGGCAGGAAGUCCCGACACAGGCACUGAGGAUGGUCGCUGUGAUACUGAUCCCCGCAGGGCGUGUUGGAAGCUCGCAGGAGGGCCCUGGGCUCCUGUUUCUGCCCUGUGGGAGAUGGCAUGCUGAGGCCUGACUUCCGAGGUGGCCCCAGCCUUUGUCGGGAAGGCUGGCAGGUGGGUGGGGUAGAAGUUUGGAGUGGCGGCCUCCCUUGUAGGUCAGUCCUUGCCAGGGCAGUAUGGCCCGGGGGACACAGAAGACAUCAGAUGAGGCACUGCCCAGGAGCAGGACUAGAUAUCCACAAGCUUAGUGACCUGUGACCAACAUGUGGAGCAGGGAGGCUUCUGGAGUGAACUGGCAUAGCCGGGCCUCCCAGGCCCAGGGCACAGGAAAAGGCUGGGAAGUGGCUGUGUUUCUGGGAGGCAUCUGUCUUUCCUACACCUCCAGAAGAGCCUCCUGCAUACCGGAGGGCCCCACCGGGAACACCGGGGCCCAGACAUACCCAGAACCGCAAGGGUGGAGCAGCAGCACCAGCCUUCCCUGUGGCUGCGUGGCAAGCUCAUUUCCAUGUAUUCACGUGCAUUCAUGUUGACCUCCUCUUCCCCAGCGUUCUGAGUGCCCGGGCCACCCUGGUGGACCUCCCAGGGGCUGGCAUGCUUAUUUAUGACUGGAAUUUGAUUACUGAUUUCUACCUAUGGGGAAUCAAUUAGCUUCAUCUUCACAUUACAGGAGAGGAUAGGGAAGCUCAGAGAGCUCAAGCUUCUUGGGCUCAAGAAGUCUGCCCAAGGUCACACAGCUUACAAGCAGUGAUGCCAGAACGUGGGGUGUGGUCAGCCUCCGCACUGCCUGUGGGCAGGGACCUCAGAGGGGCCCAUGGGCUUCCCGAAGAAAUGAGAGAAGCCAACAGCCCAGUGGAGAUGCUGAACUGUCUAGAGAAGGGAGAAGGGUGGGAUUCGGGAGUAGGGACCCCACAGUCUCCCCACCUGGGAAACACGCAGGGCACUAUCUGUGAGCUGCGUCCCAUCUGAGAUGAGGGUAGGUGGCCACGGCCAACCACACAGCACAGCUGGGUCAAGGGGUCAUUGUGUGGACAGGAGGAGGUGGGGGUGGGGGAAGCACCACAUCCAGGAUCCCCGGCAGGGAGCCCCAUCCCCUUGUCAGGCAGCCUCCAGGCCAGGCAGGCCCAGGACAAAUGCAGUUGUGUGCAUCUGAUGGUGCAGGAGCGGUGGAGGCACCUGGCCUCCAGCUGACGCCACAGGGGAGGGAGAACAUGUCCACAUCCACUGACCCUACCCAGCGCACCAGCCAAGCCCACCUCCCCCGGUGCUGUGAGGCCACCUGUGACGGAUGUCAGGCCACCAGGGAAGAGUUCCAGGCAGAGCCACGUGCAGGGAGCGCCCCCUUGCUGUGUCCCUCAUCCUGGAAGGACUGGCUCCUGGUGGCAGCAAGGACCUUGCCGAUGACUGGGGAAGCACCCAGCCUGGCUCGGAGACACUUAACCAACCAGGGACAGGAGACAGGGCGAUGCAAGGAAAGACCAUGGCUGUCGCCCCCACCCCCGUGAUGCCAAUGACACCACCCCGUCAACCCACUCCUUCCUGUACAGUCUGGGCCUCAGCCCCUUGACAGCACAGCUGGGCCGCCUCAGGGAGCUGGAGUGAGUGGGUGGGGGACGGGUCAGUCUGUCCCAGCAACAUCUCACGUGGCCACUUUCUCCACCCGAGGACUUGGUCUCAAGUCUCUGCAGGUUCCUCAGUGAUGGAGCCUGGCCCUGCACUUCUGGCCUGGUCUAAAGGUACAGGCCGGCCUUUUCCGGGGUGAAUGUGUGUCCCAAGUCCAGGAAUUGCUAAAUCCAGCCCAGAACUCAGACCCUGAGGACAAGCAGGCCAGGUGGAGGGGGAGCUCCACUCAUGGACCCAAGAGGUGGGGUUUGCAGGUGAGUGAGAGGCACCCCAUCUCCGGGGUAGGGGUCAGACCAGGUGUCCUGUCAAUGUCUACCGGUGUCACACUGCCCCCCACAUACCACGUGCAGAGGCAGAGGGAGGUUUCCAUACAUUUUUGAAAACCACGCCUCCCUAACUGCCCAGCUGUUCUGCACAUUUGCAGUUGAGGACUUCUGUGGACACUGGGUCCCCCUGGGAGGCAGGUGCAGAGGCUGGAGUCUCCCCUCCCAGGUUCAAGCAAUUCUCCUGCCUCAGCCUCCCAAGUAGCUGGGACUACAGGUGCGUGCUGCCAUGUCCCCUAAUUUUUUGUAUUUUUAGUAGAGACGGGGUUUAACCAUGUUGGCCAGGCUGGUCUCGAACUCCUGACCUCAGGUGAUCUACCCGCCUAGGCCUCCCAAAGUGCUGGGAGGAUAGGCGUGGGCCACCGUACCCGGCCUUCUGUUUUUGUUAAAUCAGGAUGCGCUGUGUCUCAGAAACUGGGAAGUCAAGAUUCUCCUUUCAGCUAAGAAAGAGCUUACUUAGAAAUGAACCAGGGAGGACUGGGCAGGGAGAGCCACCGUCCCCAGAGCAGCCAGGGGGAGGUAAGAAGCCUGAAUGCCUGGCCCUCACGGGGUAGGGGCCAAGACAGGGCCAAGGUCUUGGGGUCCAUGAGGCUGGCACGAGGCCAGCGUCCAGGACAGCAGAGAAAAGGGCAGCGUGCUCCGGUCCUCGCUGUUCAGUGGUGAUCUGCUAAUCACUCGGGAAAAAAAAAUCCGCAAAACCCAGAUUACAUCUUAAAAUUAGAUAAAAUUUUCUUUCUACAACUUCUAAGCAGCGUGAUUUAGUGAG